CAUCAAUUUUUAGAAAUAAAGUAUUUUAGUGAAGGUCUCUACAUUGGGUUUUUUUGACAUAAUGCUAUUACAC